rnacentral:rRNA from 1 species
GACGAACGCUGGCGGCGUGCUUAACACAUGCAAGUCGAACGGAAAGGCCCUGCUUGCCGGGUGCUCGAGUGGCGAACGGGUGAGUAACACGUGGGUGAUCUGCCCCUUACUUUGGGAUAAGCCUGGGAAACUGGGUCUAAUACUGGAUAGGACCAUGCUGUAGGUGGUGUGGUGGAAAGAUUAGUUUCGGUAAGGGAUGAGCUCGCGGCCUAUCAGCUUGUUGGUGGGGUAAUGGCCUACCAAGGCGUCGACGGGUAGCCGGCCUGAGAGGGUGGACGGCCACAUUGGGACUGAGAUACGGCCCAGACUCCUACGGGAGGCAGCAGUGGGGAAUAUUGCACAAUGGGCGCAAGCCUGAUGCAGCGACGCCGCGUGGGGGAUGACGGCCUUCGGGUUGUAAACUCCUUUCAGCCAUGACGAAGCCCUUGUGGUGACGGUAGUGGGAGAAGAAGCACCGGCUAACUACGUG